UCAAAUCAUUGUCUUACAAUCCGACUCAACUUUUGAAUGAUUGCAUUUUAGUACUCAAACUUUGGAUUUGUUUCAUUUUAGCACUCUAUGUUCUUUCUUCCAAUUCUUCUUUGAAACAAGAAUUUUUCUUAAUGAAAACAAUAAAUAACAAAUUAGGUACUAAUCCGUCCAAAACAUAACAAAAUAGCAUCAUUUAGGUUUCCAAAUAAGUGUAGAAACUACACUAAUCAUUUGGUCUUUACCACAAACCUUGAUUGACAUCAUACAUAGGAAGCCUAAAUAACAAGGUCAGAGCUCAAACAAAGUAGUUUAUCGAGUAAAUUCUAUUCACGAUAAUCUUUACUUUAGUAUCAAUCAGGAAAAUGUCUCAAUUUCGUUUAAUUGAGGAUUUAAUACGAUUUCAAUCAGGUAAAUACACUUUAAUUUCAUUACAAGACAUCUUUGUCCAAGUCCAAUUAUGAGUGUUGAUAACGUGACAUUCCCUUAAUGGUCACCACAUGUGUCGUUAGUUGCUGACGUAAAAUUUAUACAACUUCAAUGAAAUAAGUGACGAGCUUCCUAUAUCAACUAUCAGUUCAUCGAUUCUUAUAGAAUUACACGUAGUUAUCCAAUUAGAAUUAAAUUAAAAUAUGGCUAUUCGAUUGAAUAUAAUUGAAGUGCGAUUAUUCGAUUGAGAAUAAAAUCUACGUUGUUAAGUUUGCAAGUCCGUGUUUCUUUUGGAAAUUCCAACUUCCAAAAUUCUGAAAAUUAACCUAACACGCAUAAUGAAAUCUUAACAUCAACGAGGUUGAAAGUGUGGAGCAAAUUUUACAUAAUGAGUUACAUAAUAUUAUAUGUCAUUCUAUUAUUUGUCAGUUUAAAAUAUAAUUAACGUUUUCAUCAAAUCUUUUCAUCUACAUCACUUUAUGUAAUUUUUUGUGCGCAAAUAGCGUAAUCAUAUAUCCACAAACUUGCCAAAUCAGAAUUAAUCCUAUUUUAGUUUUUACACUACAAACCUCGGACCUCCACGUGGAAUAUGCAAAAAUGAAAAAUAAAAAAAAUUCUCAAAUUCCCUCUGAAAUUGGUUCCAGAGAAGGUGUCCAUGGUCUUAACCGUUGAUUGGGAAUCGGUGCAACAAUUGUAAGUAUUAUGCCCUAGGUCCAAUCGACUUUGGACAUAAAUACUUUUAUAUAUAAUUAAUGUAAUUAAAUGGCAGAUCUAUUAUUUAAUUAAUAGACAAUUAAAUAAAUAAUAGAGUCCGUAGAUUCAAAUAUUUGUAAUUUAUUAAUCACAAGGAGUUGUGAUUGUGAGAUACAAAUUACAUCUGAUUGAAUCUUAAAUCAUCCGUGG
rnacentral:lncRNA from 1 species